rnacentral:sRNA from 1 species
UCGACUAAGGUUCGAUUCGAGCGCAGCGAGAAAGCGUUGCCGCAGGCAACGACCCGAAGGGCGAAGCGCGCAGCGCUGAGUAAUCCUUCCCCCACCACCA